AACCCAGAGGUACCAUGAUAUUCCUCUCUUCUCUUCUUUUAAUUCUAUGGGCUUAAUGUUAGAUUCGCAAUCAUUCUUUUUUUUUUUUUUUUUUUUGAAGCUCAGAAAUCGAUUCCCUAACUCGUUGCUAAAAUUCAUUUUCAAAUGUAACUAAAACUUUCUGUGACCACAGACCCCACACCUGCCCAAAACGUAAUGGACGUGAAGGAGCCGCCGUUGCCCACAGGCAGCAGCACAUCCACUGUGCGUGUUGUAGCAGCUGCUCAUCCCAGAGUGGUCCCCCCACCCCUUGGGAGCCUCUCAGCCCUUCAUUCAGAGCGUUGAGCACCUACCAUGCACUGGCCUUGACCCUGGAUCCCGUCUCCAUCUCAAAGCACCUGCAGUCCACUUCAGGGGACAGCAGUAAAGAAACAACUGCAUUAGGUUUUUGUUUGUUUUGUUUUGUCUUUUUAGGGCCGCCGCCAUGGCAUAUGGAGCUUCCCAGGCUAGGGGUUGAAUCACAGUUGUAGCUGCCAGCCUACACCCCAGCCAUAGUCACGCCAGAUCUAAGCCACAUCUGUGACCUACCCCACAGCCCAUGGCAACGCCAGAUCCUUAACCCAUUGAGCGAGGCCAGGAAUCCAACCUGCGUCCUCACGGGUACUAGUGAGAUUCACUUCCGCUGAGCCACGACGGGAACUCCAUGCAGUAGUUAGUAUUUUUAAAAACACGGGAGGGUGGGAGGGAUGGACUGGGGGUUGGGAAUUGGCCUGUGCACACUGAGGUGUAUGGAAUGACCGACCCACAGGGACCUUCUGUGAUCAUCUGUGGAAAGAGGACCUGAUAGAGAAUGGAUGUGUGUACGGAUAUAACUGCAUCACGUUGUCGUACAGCAGAAAUGAUCGCAACCCUGUACCAGCAACUUCAAUAAAACUUAAAAAAUAGGGAGUUCCCAUUGUGGCGCAGUGGUUAACGAAUCCGACUAGGAACCAUGAGGUUGUGGGUUCGAUCCCUGGCUUCGCUCCGUGGGUGAAGGAUCCGGCAUUGCCAUGAGCUGGGGUGUAGACCAGCAGCAACAGCUCCAAUGAGACCCCUAGCCUGGGAACCUCCAUAUGCCGUGGGUGUGGCCCUAAAAAGACAAAAAAUAAAUAAAGUUAAGAUUUGAAUGGUGAAAAGGCGCUGGUCGUGUAAAGGUGGAGCCAGGCAGGAAAAUGGUUGGUGCAAAGGUCCUGAGGCAGAAAAGACGUUGGUGGGCUUGUGGAAUCGAGCGCAGAGCCGGAGUUGGAGAGGCAGGCUGUUUGGAAGGAUGAGGAGGUCACCAGUCCUGUGGGCAGGGUGGAAAGGAAGGAGGGGUGUGGCUGUGCAGGCAAAGGUUUGGAACAAGGCUUGUUGGCGAAUGUGCCUGUGACUCGGUGAGCCCUGAAUAUUGUCCUCUGUGGGAAGAGCAGGAAAAGCAGGCUGGGAGGCCCAGGAGGAGCCAGCUUGUGACAGGCCUCGCGUAGCAGGCAGAGGGAUUUGGGUCUCCUCCAGUAGACGACAGGCAGCCAAAACAGACGGGAAUUUUUGUGUCUCUAGUGAGAAAUAUUUUUUUCUGAUAACCAAAGUAACUCUAUCUGGGGAAAUUCUGGAAAAUGUACACGAGGACACUGAAGAAAAAAAUCUGUAAGCACACAUUCCAACCAUCGUUGCCAUAUCUGUAUCUUCUUUUGCAUGUAGAUACCAUUUUCCAAAAAUGAGAGUGCUUUCAUAGAAGCUAUUUUAUAGUUGCUAUUUCUGGUUUUGUUUUCUUUUUUGUCUUGUUUGUUUGUUUGUUUGUUUUGUCUUUUCAGGGCUGCACCUGCAGCAUAGGGAAGUUCCCAGGCUAAGGGUCAAAUGGGAGCUGCAGCUGCCGGCCUACACCACAGCCACAGCAACGUGGGAUCCGAGCUGCGUCUGCAGCCCACACCACAGCUCACGGCAACGCCGGAUCCCCGACUCACAGAACGAGGCCAGGGAUUGAACCCAUAUCCUUAUGGAUCCUAGUCGGAUUCGUUUCCGCUGCACCACAGUGGGAAAACUCUAGCUGCUAUUUCACUUAACCAUGCAGAGCAAAUAUUCUGAAAAUGUCUUCCUAAGUAUUCUUUUCCAGCACAGCUUUGCAUCCCUGCGUGGUAUUUCAUGCUAAAAAUGAACUAAAAUUUAUUUAUAUGGUUUCACUGUCAGCCCUUAUGGUUGCACAUCUAAACUGUUUCCAGGUUUCAGUAUUAUGAGCAGUGCUGCAGUUAUGGUCCUUAGAGGGAUAUAUUUACUUCUACCCAUGAUUGUUUCCUUAGGAGUUCCUAGAAAUGGAAUUGUGGGGUCAAAGGGCAGGUUUUUUCAAGGCUUUUUCUGUCUGUUUCUAGGUUAGCUUUUUAAGCUGUGUCAUUUUACGCUUCCACUAGCCAAGUAUAAGUGUGCCUGUGCACCCAGUCACUCAGUCAGCACUGGAUUUCAUUUGUCUAUUUGAUAAAGAAAAAACUUUGUACAUCCACUGUUUUAUCUACAUUUUUUUUUGGCCACACCCAUGACAUGCAAAAAUUCCUGGCCCAAGGGAUUGGACCCAAGCUGCAGCAAUGACUUGAGCCACAGCAGUGAUCAUGCUAGAUCCUUAACCCACUAGGCCACCAGGGAACUCCUUGUCUACAUUUUUUUAUGAAAUUGAACACUUUCUCCCAUGGGUCCAGUUGUCAUCUGUACGUAUACUGUAAAUUGUUCAUCUCCUUUGCUUUGUCUCUUUUUAUCUUUUCACGCCUUCAUCAUCUGGUUACUAGUUUGCAAGAGCUCUUUAUGUGUUAGGAUUAUUAACCCUCAUACUGUGCAAAUAUUUUCCCAAUCUGUCUUUUUUCAUUGUAUAACCUUUUUUGCCAGAAGUUUCGCAUUGCUCUGUGUUCAGAGCUGCUUUUUCCUCUAGCCUUUGCAUGAAUGCUUUAAAAAGUCUUGCCCAUCCAAAGAUGAGAUAAAGACUCACUAUGGGAGUUCUCUUGCAGCUCAGUAGGUCCAGGAUCUAGCAUUGUCACUGCAGCGACAUGAGUCACAGCUGAGGUGCAGGUUCGAUCCCUAGUCAGGGAAUUUCUAUAUACCACAGGUGCAGCCAAAAAAAAAAAAAAA
rnacentral:lncRNA from 1 species